UACGAAGGGGGCUAGCGUUGCUCGGAAUCACUGGGCGUAAAGGGUGCGUAGGCGGCUCUAUAAGUAUGGUGUGAAAUCUCCCGGCUUAACUGGGAGGGUGCGCUAUAGACUGUGGGGCUAGAGUGUGGGAGAGGAAAGUGGAAUUCCUAGUGUAGCGGUGAAAUGCGUAGAUAUCAGGAGGAACACCGGUGGUGUAAACGGCUUUCUGGACCAUAACUGACGCUGAGGCACGAAAGCGUGGGUAGCAAACAGG
rnacentral:rRNA from 1 species